AGAACGAACGUUAGCGGCGCGCCUAACACAUGCAAGUCGCACGAGAAAGGGCUUCGGCCCCGGUACAGUGGCGCACGGGUGAGUAACACGUAGAUAAUCUUCCCUCGGGUGGUGGAUAACUCUCCGAAAGGAGAGCUAAUACAGCAUGAGACCACGGCUUCACUGAAGCUGCGGCCAAAGCAGGCCUCUAUACAUAAGCUUGCGCCUGAGGAUGAGUCUGCGGCCCAUCAGCUAGUUGGUAGGUAAUGGCCUACCAAGGCUAAGACGGGUAGCUGGUCUGAGAGGAU
rnacentral:rRNA from 1 species